AUGGAGUCAGGAGGAGGAGAUGAUGCUGAUGCUAGUGCGGCAGCAUCAACAGCAAAAGAGAGAGCAAAGAUUCUCAAGAGGAAUUCCGAUGACAUGGGUUGGGCCUAUGGUCAGCUGGUUGAUCCUAACAACCUUCAUAGAUUGAGGUGCAAAUUUUGCAACCAGAUUUUCAUGGGAGGUAUUUACCGUCUGAAACAACACAUUAUGGAAAACUCAAAUAUACAUACCAAGAGGAUAAAUAGACUUACAACAGAUCACCUCAAUCAUAUUGUGUACAUCCAGUUCAACUCAGGGCUGUUAUCCAAGGAAAAGAUCAAGAAGAGGAAGAACAUUGAUGUUCUCCUCAGCACUGAUGCAUCCGAAGCACAAGGCUUCUUGUUUGAGGGAGCAGAUUAUCAUGCUUUCAUGGUGUUUCUAGAUGGAGAUGAGGGAGCAGAUAGCAUACCUUGGAGUAUGGUUGGAGAUGCUAUGGGAACCAGUGAACAACUUGAGCUUCGUUGAAGUGCAAGGGUUAGAGAUCUCCAUGAUGAAGAGUUUGAGUCAGACGAAGAAGAAGUAGAGGAGACAGAUUCAAAGGAGGAGGACAUAGAGUUUGAGUCAGACGAAGAAGAAGUGUAG
rnacentral:rRNA from 1 species